rnacentral:rRNA from 1 species
UACGUAGGGUGCAAGCGUUAAUCGGAAUUACUGGGCGUAAAGCGUGCGCAGGCGGUUUUGGAAGUUUGUCGUGAAAGCCCCGGGCUCAACCUGGGAAUGGCGAUGAAGACUGCAAGGCUUGAAUCUGGCAGAGGGGGGUAGAAUUCCACGUGUAGCAGUGAAAUGCGUAGAGAUGUGGAGGAACACCGAUGGCGAAGGCAGCCCCCUGGGUCAAGAUUGACGCUCAUGCACGAAAGCGUGGGGAGCAAACAGG